rnacentral:lncRNA from 1 species
CUACUGAAUCAUUCAACAGUCUGUCUGUUUGCUCUCUAGCCAAAGAAAAUAACCUAUAAAACAAGGACUUAGGAAUCAACUGCAAACGGGGUUUCCACCUAGUUUGUAACAUCUCCACCUGCCUUGUAUCUUCCUGCAGACACAAUGGGAAAUGGGAGCAAUUGCUGGUUAUGUGUGCGUGGCACUUCUGGGUGCUGGGCUCCACUGCUUUUGCCUUUCUUCCAGCAGUGUAACUCAAGGUGACUACAGGUCAGCUUGCAGCAGCUGCUACCAUCUUAUUGAGCUUCGCCAUCCCAUGGGAGGAGGACCAGAGCCAGAGCGUUCCCUGCGCUUGCCAGGAAAUCCACAGGUCUUUAAGUGAAGCUUGGAAGAUCUACAAUGUGAAGCUCAGAGGAUCAUCUUCAGAAUGUUAUUCCUUUACUUAUAAACCUCAAACAAUGGCAAGUGAGGCAUAUUCUUAAAACUUAUGGGAAUAUCCCCCAAAAGUGAAGUUUCUUAGUGAAUAUAUAGCUUUUCUGAUGGCAAUCUAAUCACCUGAUAAGCAAAGUGUUUUAAAUACCACAAUCUGACCAAUACGUAUUAGCUGCAUGGAUACAAUGUAUUCCUGUCUGAUAUCUAGCAUUUUUAUCUGGUAUCUAUUAUUGCACAACCUUGCAAAUCUUGCUGGUUAGGAAACUGAGACACAGGGAAGAAACAUUUGUCAAGGGAUGCAUGGAGAGUUGUUGACUGUAGGCACACACAAGGCCAACACUGCCACAUUUUCACAAGCCUUCUUUGCAAAGCUAAGCCUUGUCUGUGACCCUUUGUUCUUUAUUUCACCUGGAGUCAUACCACAAUGCCACACAGCGUAAGCAGCUUUUAAAGAGGACCAAGUAUCUGUGAGGACUCACAGCAUUGUAUCUGUUCGUGAUACUCAGAUGUGCAUCAGAACGUAGCAAACCAGGCACAACACAACUGGAAGGUUAAAGCUAAAACCACUUCAAGGUUAAGGCAACACUCAACUCUGCAAAUACGUAGCAGGCAAUUUGCAAAGAUAGCCUUGCUAAUGAGAAAUCAGUUCUUCCUGCAUUGUGUAUUUCUAUAUUGUUCUAAUAUUUCCAGAGAGCACAGCAAUGAAAAACAUGUCUCCUGACAUUCAGUAGAGCCAUGGCUUAAGGUGAUGCCAGAAAUUGGCCUGUCAUUGUUCUGAUGGAUUUCAUUACAUCCUGGUGUGACACGACACAAAGACGCAUUGCACAUCUGCCUCAAAGUCCAACAUUUUGAAGCAUUUUUUUAGCCUAAAGAAACACAUGUGCAGUUUACCCAUGUUCAGGAGCUCAGCAUAACACCAAAGAGCUGCCUCUGUUGCUUUCCAGGCACCU